UAGAACAAUUUAUGAUUAAAAAAAGAUUUAUCAAAUGACUAAAGGAGGUGGCAAUAGUUCUCUUCAUCCAUAACUCAUACCUUGGGUUACAAAAUAACUGAGCUUUUAUCUUCAAUGAAACACAUAGUCCCCUAAGACACAAGGAAUCCAGGAAUGCACAAAAUCACAUAUGGAAGAACAAGAAAAUGGAGUCUCCAUGCCAAGGAGGUGCACAAUUUAAGAAACACACUACUUCCCUCUGCUUCGUGACCACCAGCUGCUUAAACCAACUCCUACUGUAACUUCCCAUCAUGAUUAAAUGAUGAACUUUACCCAGAACCUGUCAAAGAAUUAUUUUAAAGGAGAGAAGUGGAUUGAAAGCAUGCAGAAGUAAAGUUGUGUGAGGAAAAUCAGGACCCAUGUGCUCACACAGAAUGUAUAGUUUUUGACUUGACUCUUGCAUGUGUUGUCUACACUGAUAAGAGAUGUGAAGGUAUUAUUUUCCUCAGAAGAAUCCCAAGCCUUUAACACUCAAGCCCUUAACACUACAUAUGUUACUUUAUAAAUGUUAGCAUUGCCAA